rnacentral:lncRNA from 1 species
UCAUGAGCAUCCAAGUUAAGAGAGACAAUCCAAAUGGAUAUCCUAAGAGCUUGAUUGAAUAUUUGUUUGAUUGCUUGAGUUAAUUGCUAAGUCCAAAGGGAAGGAGCAUCUUGAAUCAUCUUUAUGAUCUCAAGAAAGGAACUCCAAGGGUUUUAUCUCUUCUCUCAUCUUUGCAUGUUUAGGACUAGACCUUCUCUUCUUCUCUCCACUC